GCGGUGGUAGUUCAGUGGUAGAACGCUUCCUUGCCAAGGAAGAGGUCGCGGGUUCGAGCCCCGUCCGCCGCU
rnacentral:tRNA from 1 species